rnacentral:rRNA from 1 species
GGAAUCUUGCGCAAUGCGCGAAAGCGUGACGCAGCAACGCCGCGUGGGGGAAGACGGCCUUCGGGUUGUAAACCCCUUUCAGGAGGGACGAAGGUUCGCCGGUGAAUAGACGUGCGGAUUGACGGUACCUCCACAAGAACCCCCGGCUAACUACGUGCCAGCAGCCGCGGUAAUACGUAGGGAGCAAGCGUUGUCCGGAAUCAUUGGGCGUAAAGCGCGCGUAGGUGGCCCCGUAAGUCCGCUGUGAAAGUCAAAGGCUCAACCUUUGAAAGCCGGUGGAUACUGCGGGACUAGAGUACGGAAGAGGCGAGUGGAAUUCCUGGUGUAGCGGUGGAAUGCGCAGAUAUCAGGAGGAACACCAAUAGCGAAGGCAGCUCGCUGGGACGUUACUGACACUGAGGCGCGAAAGCGUGGGGAGCGAAC